rnacentral:rRNA from 1 species
GAUGAACGCUGGCGGCGUGCCUAGCACAUGCGAGUCGAGCGAACAGGCGAGGAGCUUGCUCCUCUGACGUUAGCGGCGGACGGGUGAGUAACACGUGGAUAACCUACCUAUCAGACUGGGAUAAUUUCGGGACACCGGCGCUAAUCCCGGAUAAUAUAUUGAACCGCAUGGUUCAAUAGUGAAAGACGGUUUUGCUGUCACUUCUAGCUGGAUCCGCGCCGCAUUAGCUAGUUGGUAAGGUAACGGCUUACCAAGGCGACGAUGCGUAGCCGACCUGAGAGGGGGAUCGGCCACACUGGAACUGAGACAGGGACCAGACUCCUACGGGAGGCAGCAGUAGGGAAUCUUCCGCAAUGGGCGAAAGCCUUACGGAGCAACGCCGCGUGAGUGAUGAAGGUCUUCGGAUCGUAAAACUCUGUUAUUAGGGAAGAACAAAUGUGUAAGGAACUAUGCACGUCUUGACGGUACCGAAUCAGAAAGCCACGGCUAACUACGUG